AUCAUUUAACUUGCGGCGUAGUAAUAUAUUAUUCAUCGAUUGAACACUCAAAUGUAUCGAAUACUUAGAGCUCUCGCGACUGUAUCUUUCGAGAUUUCUUCGAUUGCUGAUGCUACAUCAUAUCCAAUUAAGAACCGUUAAAAUUAGAAUGCCAGAUAAUGAAAAAUGCACUAUAAAUCUGGAAGAACGAGUUCCCAUUUUACAACCAAAUGAAAAACUCUUAAAGAGAUUGGAUAUUUUAGCUGAUCAUUUUCAAUCAGCAUACAAUAUCAAACCUUUGUUUUUUGUAAGAGUUCCGGGAAGAGUUAAUUUAAUUGGUGAGCACAUCGAUUAUUGCGGAUAUGCUGUUUGUCCAAUGGCUAUUGAACAAGAUAUACUUAUUGCUGUAGCACUUUCAAACGACAACGUCAUUCAUCUUACUAAUUUAGAUUCAAAAUACAAAAAUUUUCACUGCAAUUUCAAAGAUAUUAGUGUUUGUAUCGGAGACGUCGACAGUGGUCCAGACUGGUACAAAUAUUUUCUCUGCGGCGUGAAAGGAGCUCUUGAAGUGAUCCCAGAGGAAUGUGUACCUUCGGGAAUUUUAGCUGCAGUUUGGGGUAACAUUCCUCCUAAUUCAGGACUCUCGAGUUCUAGCGCGUUAGUUUCCGCCGCUGUCCUUUUGAUCGUGCACGCUAGUCAGCAUCAAUUAUCGAAACGUGAAUUAGCUACCAUCAGUGCCAACGCUGAAAGAUAUAUUGGUACCCAAGGUGGUGGAAUGGAUCAAGCAAUCGCGUUCUUUGGAAAAGCAGGUUCUGCAAUGCUAAUCGAAUUCAACCCCUUGCGUGGUACUGAUGUCAUGUUACCGGAAAGCGCAGUAUUCGUAAUAGCACACAGCCAAGCUUGUCAUAACAAAGCUUCCACGACAGAUUAUAAUUUAAGAGUUGCAGAAUGUCGCUUAGCUGCACAGAUGAUAGCAAAGAAAAGAAACAAACCUUGGGAACAUGUACAAAGACUAAUCGAUAUUCAAGAGAGUCUUAAUAUGAGCUUAAACGAAAUGGUUUCAGUUAUAACAACCGACCUUCACGAAGAACCAUAUACCUUGAGCGAGAUUAGCAAGAACCUUGAUACAACGAAUGAGAAACUUCGUGAAAUAUCAUUAUUACAAACUUUUAGCAAUGCACAAAUUUUCAAAUUGAAACAACGUGCUCUCCAUGUGUAUCAAGAGGCGGCUCGAGUGCUCGAAUUCCAGCAUAUUAGUGAGAAAAAUGCAAUUGUGGAAGAGGAGAAGCUAAAACAAUUAGGCAAUCUGAUGUCUAACAGCCAUUUCAGUAUGCACAAACUAUACGAGUGCAGUCAUCCCAGUGUCAAUUCACUCGUUGACAAAGCUAUGGCUUGUGGUGCACUCGGUGCAAGGCUCACGGGAGCUGGAUGGGGUGGCUGCAUAGUGGCCAUCAUAACGAAAGACAAGGUUUCUCAAUUUGUGGAUACACUGAAAAAGGAACUCGGUCUAUGUGGGAUAAAAGAUGGAUUCAAACUCGACGAUCUGGUUUUUCCAACGGAACCGAACCAGGGUGCUGCAAUUUAUAUGAUCUAGUUUUCAUUCUCCAUCUGUUUCCUGUCUUCUUGCAUUUUAUAAAUUCGAGCAAUUGAUUUAUCAAAAGUUCCUUAUAAUGAAAUGCAUUUGGAGUGAUAACGUAAGAAAAGAUAUGAAUGAGAGAGAAAAUUAAGAAUUUGAUAGCCUGUAAAAGCUUCUCUAUUUUUAAGAACUGGUCUUGCUAAUUGAAAGAUUAGAUAAUCACUAACAAUCAACAUUGAAAUUACAUAGUAAAUGGUAAAUCUACGUCAGCAGUGUCUGGAACAUUAUCAAAGUUUAUUUCGAAGGGAUAAAGGGAAGGAUAAAUGGAAUUUAUCAGCGAAAAUUUCCAUUCGACCUAGAUCCGUUUAAGGGAUUUCUUAUGUAUGUGAUUUUGAGGAUUCUAUCAUUGACAUGGAAAUAAUAAGAAAAGAGCAUUGAGCGAAGAAAUCAUGCGUAAAUAAUUGCGAAUUCGUAAAAAAUUUCUUCAUGGCACAUGGUUUAUUUUAAAAAUAAAAAAUAUCUUAUUAACAUGAUUUAUUAAACUUAAAAAUUUAUAAAAUCAAUUUAAAAAUAUUCUUCAUUAAAUAAUAUUUAAAUUUUUCGUGGAAUAUUUAAUAACUUAUAAAAUGAUUUUUUUUUCCUAGAUGGAAUAAUUUUGAAGAUAUUUAAGAAUAUAAAAAGGACAAAAUUGAAAAAAUAUAUAUUGCCAUAAGAACAUUUUUCAUGGGUUAGGUCAGCGUACUCGACAGUCUAAGAUCCGACAUUGAUAUUGAUUUUCUACUACCAGUCUAUGCUAAUAAAUUUCUCGAUAAGAGAAAGAACAAUCAGCCACCGAAAAACUCGUUUCACCUUUGGAAUCGGUUGACUGCUUCAUUGAUUUAAUCUGCUACCAUAUCGAAUGAAGGAUCAAGUUUAAUUUAAGAUUGAUUUAUGUUUUUUUCUUUUGCAAAAUUCUAGGAUAUUAUUUAAUUUUUAAUUUAUUUUAUUUAACUUUUUACAUUCACCUUUAUUAAUUUUUAAUUUAAUAUAAGGAUAUGUCUCAAACAUAAUUCAGAAUUUAUAAUUUUAGAGAGUCAAAUUAUAUUUAACUUUCAACUUAUCAAAUUCUCUUCAUUACUUUAAUAUGUUGCUUUUGCAAUCAAACGUGAAAUAACUCAUGAAUUUCAUAUUAAACAGCAACGUAUUAUCGUAAAAUAUUUCAGAUAACUAGCUUAAAUUUUAAUGUAUAUAUAUAUAAUGCAACAACAUUUUUACGAACAUAAAAAAUCCAGAUGGUCCAGAUUUCAAAGAUCCAAGAUAUAAUUUUAAAACUUUGUUAUACAAAAUCUAUUUUUAUUGUAAGCUGAUUUAUCACACUCUUUUAAUUCUGUUUUAAUAUAAAUUUAAUAAGAAAUUUCUCCGCUAUUAUUUCAAUUUCCAUUGUUAAAUACAUUUAAUUUUCUUGCCGGUAGUAUAUUCUCCGUAGAACAAAAUGAAAUUUGUUUCAGUUUGACAUCGUUUUGAAAUAAGGCAAUGACGAUACACUUUGUUCUGGGAUCUAGAACUUCCUGGUGGACGAACAUCAGCUUAGGCAAGGAAAUUUCUCAAGUUCUGUAAACUGUGGUGAACCAUGUGAAACAAGUUACGUAUUAACAGAGAGGGUUUGGUAAAAUUGAUAAGUCGAG